AAACUACUCCCUCCGUCCGGAAAUACUGGUCGGAAAAAUGGAUGUAUCUAGAACUAAAGUACGUCUAGAUACAUCCAUUCCUCCGACAAAUAUUUCUGGACGGAGGGAGUACUUA
rfam:Triticum aestivum genome assembly, contig: Triticum_aestivum_CS42_TGACv1_scaffold_220619_3B